ensembl:snRNA U6 U6 spliceosomal RNA
AAGAAAACCCUGCCCACACACUAAAACUGGAACAAUACAGAAAAGAUAAGCAUGGCACCCUCAUAAGGAUGAGGUUCAACAUGGAGCGGCCAUAUUUUA